UUUCCGUAGGUGAACCUGCGGAAGGAUCAUUAUCGAGUUUUGAAACGGGUUGUAGCUGGCCUUCUUUGGCACCGUGCACGCCCUGCUCAUCCACUCUACACCUGUGCACUUACUGUAGGUUUCAGACGCGAUGCGAGUUUAGGCUCGCGGAGCUUAUGGGGCUUACGUUUCAACCACAAACGCUUCAGUAUCAGAAUGUGUAUCGCGAUGUAACGCAUCUAAAUACAACUUUCAGCAACGGAUCUCUUGGCUCUC
rnacentral:misc_RNA from 1 species